ensembl:lncRNA
UUUGCCCCGCCCAUCGUGCUGUCGUCAUUAGUGACGCAGCAUAGCUGAGCGCGCGCACUUCGGAGUCGCUUGGUACAUUUCCUAAACGGCGGUUCUUUGAUUGAUAACUAACGUUACUUUUUUUCUAAGUAGAAAUUAUGUUUUUCAUCCUAAACGGACAAAGGAAAUCGGUCAUCAUGUGUAGUCAAGGUGGUAGGACUUGUAUUCUUUAACCCGCUGAGUGACAUCAGACACGACCUGUCACGCCACUGCCUCUUAUUCAGAAACAUCUGCGUGUGGUACCCUCUGUUGAAAGUGCCUUAGAGCAAGACUGUUCUUCUGUUACCUGUUUGAUCCAACAAAAUGACUCCCAACGGAUAUUUAAUAUUUGAAGAUGAGAGCUUCCUUGAUUCUACUGUGGCCAAAAUG